ACGGGAGGCAGCAGUGGGGGAUAUUGCACAAUGGGGGAAACCCUGAUGCAGCGACGCCGCGUGAGUGAUGAAGUAUUUCGGUAUGUAAAGCUCUAUCAGCAGGGAAGAAAAUGACGGUACCUGACUAAGAAGCUCCGGCUAACUACGUGCCAGCAGCCGCGGUAAUACGUAGGGGGCAAGCGUUAUCCGGAUUUACUGGGUGUAAAGGGAGUGUAGGUGGCGUGGCAAGUCAGAUGUGAAAGCCCGCGGCUCAACCGCGGGACUGCAUUUGAAACUGUCAUGCUAGAGUGCAGGAGAGGAAAGUGGAAUUCCUAGUGUAGCGGUGAAAUGCGUAGAUAUUAGGAGGAACACCAGUGGCGAAGGCGGCUUUCUGGACUGUUACUGACACUGAGGCUCGAAAGCGUGGGGAGCAAACAGGAUUAGAUACCCUGGUA
rnacentral:rRNA from 1 species